rnacentral:rRNA from 1 species
UACGUAGGUGGCAAGCGUUGUCCGGAUUUACUGGGCGUAAAGGGCGUGCAGGCGGUCUGUUAAGUCUAGGGUGAAAGCUCCCGGCUCAACUGGGAGAGGUCCUUGGAUACUGGCGGACUUGAGGGAGGCAGAGGAAAGUGGAAUUCCCGGUGUAGUGGUGAUAUGCGUAGAUAUCGGGAGGAACACCAGUGGCGAAGGCGGCGAUCUGGACGGAUAUUGACGCUGAGGUGCGAAAGCGUGGGGAGCAAACAGG